AUGAUUAGUGUCCUCUCCAUAGUCCCUGAACACAGUGACUCUAACCAUGGAAUGGAGCUGUGUCUGUCUCUUUCUCCUAUCAGUAACUGCAGGUGUCCACUCUCAGGUCCAGCUGCAGCAGUCUGGAACUGAGCUGGUGAAGCCUGGUUCUUCACUGAAACUCUCCUGCAAGGCUUCUGGCUACACCUUCACAGACUAUGCUAUGCAGUGGGUAAAGCAGAGGCCAGGACAGGGUCUGGAAUGGAUUGGGUAUAUUCUUCCUUGGAAUGGUGUUACUGACUACAAUCAGAAGUUUAAGGGCAAGGCCACACUGACUGUAGAUACAUCCUCCAACACAGCCUACAUGGAACUCAGCAGAUUGACAUCUGAUGACUCUGUGGUCUAUUAUUGUGCAAGACACUGUGUUGUAACCAUGGCCUGAAUGUGUCAGAAACCCUGGAGGAGCAGCAAAAGACUAAUCUUUAGACCUACUGAGUAAUAGUAAUUUUGACUGUGUAUUUGUUGCCUCCUCCUCUCUUUUUAAAUGAACAUCUAUGAAUAAAGUAAUGCUAUUUGGAUAAACCUACAA